rnacentral:rRNA from 1 species
CUAUCUGCAGUCGAGCGACUGAUUAGAAGCUUGCUUCUAUGACGUUAGCGGCGGACGGGUGAGUAACACGUGGGCAACCUGCCUGUAAGACUGGGAUAACUUCGGGAAACCGAAGCUAAUACCGGAUAGGAUCUUCUCCUUCAUGGGAGAUGAUUGAAAGAUGGUUUCGGCUAUCACUUACAGAUGGGCCCGCGGUGCAUUAGCUAGUUGGUGAGGUAACGGCUCACCAAGGCAACGAUGCAUAGCCGACCUGAGAGGGUGAUCGGCCACACUGGGACUGAGACACGGCCCAGACUCCUACGGGAGGCAGCAGUAGGGAAUCUUCCGCAAUGGACGAAAGUCUGACGGAGCAACGCCGCGUGAGUGAUGAAGGCUUUCGGGUCGUAAAACUCUGUUGUUAGGGAAGAACAAGUACGAGAGUAACUGCUCGUACCUUGACGGUACCUAACCAGAAAGCCACGGCUAACUACGUGCCAGCAGCCGCGGUAAUACGUAGGUGGCAAGCGUUAUCCGGAAUUAUUGGGCGUAAAGCGCGCGCAGGCGGUUUCUUAAGUCUGAUGUGAAAGCCCACGGCUCAACCGUGGAGGGUCAUUGGAAACUGGGGAACUUGAGUGCAGAAGAGAAAAGCGGAAUUCCACGUGUAGCGGUGAAAUGCGUAGAGAUGUGGAGGAACACCAGUGGCGAAGGCGGCUUUUUGGUCUGUAACUGACGCUGANGCGCGAAAGCGUGGGGAGCAAACAGGAUUAAAUACCCUGGUAGUCCACGCCGUAAACGAUGAGUGCUAAGUGUUAGAGGGUUUCCGCCCUUUAGUGCUGCAGCUAACGCAUUAGCACUCCGCCUGGGGAGUACG